AGAGUUUGAUCCUGGCUCAGAACGAACGCUGGCGGCGUGGUUUAGGCAUGCAAGUCGAACGAGAAAGCCCUCUUCGGGGGGUGAGUAAAGUGGCGAAAGGGUGAGUAAUAUAUGGACGACUUACCCUCGAGACGGGGAUAACAACUCGAAAGGGUUGCUAAUACCCGAUGGUUCCGGUAGCUCACGGGUUACCGGAUAAAUGGUGAUUCCGCUCGAGGAGAGAUCCAUGUCCUAUCAGCUUGUUGGUGAGGUAACGGCUCACCAAGGCUAUGACGGGUAGCCGGACUGAGAGGUUGGCCGGUCACACUGGGACUGAGACACUGCCCAGACUCCUACGGGAGGCUGCAGUCGAGAAUCUUCCGCAAUGGGCGAAAGCCUGACGGAGCGACGCCGCGUGCAGGAAGAAGGCCCUCGGGUUGUAAACUGCUGUCACACGUUAAGAAUGGUUGCGUUUAAGCGUAACUUGACAAAGGCGUGAGAGGAAGUCACGGCUAACUUCGUGCCAGCAGCCGCGGUAAAACGAAGGUGGCGAGCGUUGUUCGGAAUCACUGGGCAUAAAGCGCACGUAGGUGGUUUCGUGUGUCGAUGGUGAAAUCCUACAGCUCAACUGUAGAACUGCCAUCGAAACUACGGAGCUAGAGGGCAGGAGGGGAGAGUGGAAUUCCUAGUGUAGCGGUGAAAUGCGUAGAUAUUAGGAGGAACGCCGGUGGCGAAAGCGACUCUCUGGACUGCUUCUGACACUGAGGUGCGAAAGCUAGGGGAGCAAACAGGAUUAGAUACCCUGGUAGUCCUAGCUGUAAACGAUGGGCACUAGGCAGGGGAGGUUCCGAUGCCAUCCUUGCCGUAGCUAAUGCGUUAAGUGCCCCGCCUGGGGAGUAUGGUCGCAAGGCUAAAACUCAAAGGAAUUGACGGGGGCUCACACAAGCGGUGGAGCAUGUGGUUUAAUUCGAAGCAACGCGCAGAACCUUACCCGGGUUUAAAGUGCAGGGAUUAACCUUCUGAAAGGGAGGGGAUUGCCUACGGGUGUAACCUGCAUAGGUGUUGCAUGGCUGUCGUCAGCUCGUGUCGUGAGAUGUCGGGUUAAGUCCCUUAACGAGCGAAACCCUUGUCUUUAGUUGCCAGCGGGUCAUGCCGGGGACUCUAAAGAGACUGCCGUUGUUAAAACGGAGGAAGGUGGGGACGACGUCAAGUCAUCAUGGCCUUUAUGUUCGGGGCUACACACGUGCCACAAUGGCCGGUAUAAUGUGAAGCUAAGCCGCGAGGUGGAGCAAAUCAAUAAAAGCCGGUCUAAGUUCGGAUUGGGGGCUGAAACUCGCCCCCAUGAAGUCGGAAUCGCUAGUAAUCGCGGAUCAGCUACGCCGCGGUGAAUAUGUUCCUGAGCCUUGUACACACCGCCCGUCAAGCCACGAAAGCUGGUAGUACCUUAAGUCGUGAACCCAACCUUUACGGGAGGGAAACGCCCACGGUAAAACUAGUGAUUGGGACUAAGUCGUAACAAGGUA
rnacentral:rRNA from 1 species